GACGAACGCUGGCGGCGUGCUUAACACAUGCAAGUCGAACGGUAAGGCCCUUCGGGGUACACGAGUGGCGAACGGGUGAGUAACACGUGGGUGAUCUGCCCUGCACUUCGGGAUAAGCCUGGGAAACUGGGUCUAAUACCGGAAAGGACAACUCCCGGCAUGGGUGGGGGGGGAAAGCUUUUGCGGUGUGGGUUGGGCCCGCGGCCUAUCAGCUUGUUGGUGGGGUGAUGGCCUACCAAGGCGACGACGGGUAGCCGGCCUGAGAGGGUGACCGGCCACACUGGGACUGAGAUACGGCCCAGACUCCUACGGGAGGCAGCAGUGGGGAAUAUUGCACAAUGGGCGCAAGCCUGAUGCAGCGACGCCGCGUGAGGGAUGACGGCCUUCGGGUUGUAAACCUCUUUCAGCACCGACGAAGCGCAAGUGACGGUAGGUGCAGAAGAAGGACCGGCCAACUACGUGCCAGCCGCCGCUGUAA
rnacentral:rRNA from 1 species